rnacentral:rRNA from 1 species
GAUGAACGCUGGCGGCGUGCUUAACACAUGCAAGUCGAACGGAAAGGCUCCUGCUUGCAGGGGCACUCGAGUGGCGAACGGGUGAGUAACACGUGGGUGAUCUGCCCUGCACUUCGGGAUAAGCCUGGGAAACUGGGUCUAAUACCGGAUAGGACCAUCGUUUAGUGUCGGUGGUGGAAAGUUUUUUCGGUGUGGGAUGAGCUCGCGGCCUAUCAGCUUGUUGGUGGGGUAAUGGCCUACCAAGGCGUCGACGGGUAGCCGGCCUGAGAGGGUGUACGGCCACAUUGGGACUGAGAUACGGCCCAGACUCCUACGGGAGGCAGCAGUGGGGAAUAUUGCACAAUGGGCGCAAGCCGGAUGCAGCGACGCCGCGUGGGGGAUGACGGCCUUCGGGUUGUAAACUCCUUUCGCCAGGGACGAAGCGAAAGUGACGGUACCUGGAUAAGAAGCACCGGCUAACUACGU